rnacentral:rRNA from 1 species
GAUGAACGCUGGCGGCGUGCUUAACACAUGCAAGUCGAACGGGAAACCUUUUAUUGAAGCUUCGGCAGAUUUAGCUGGUUUCUAGUGGCGGACGGGUGAGUAACGCGUGGGUAACCUGCCCUAUACAGGGGGAUAACAACCAGAAAUGGUUGCUAAUACCGCAUAAGCGCACAGGGCCGCAUGGUCCGGUGUGAAAAACUCCGGUGGUAUAGGAUGGACCCGCGUUGGAUUAGCCAGUUGGCAGGGUAACGGCCUACCAAAGCGACGAUCCAUAGCCGGCCUGAGAGGGUGAACGGCCACAGUGGGACUGAGACACGGCCCAGACUCCUACGGGAGGCAGCAGUGGGGAAUAUUGCACAAUGGGGGAAACCCUGAUGCAGCGACGCCGCGUGAAGGAAGAAGUAUCUCGGUAUGUAAACUUCUAUCAGCAGGGAAGAUAGUGACGGUACCUGACUAAGAAGCCCCGGCUAACUACGUG